rnacentral:rRNA from 1 species
GGAGGAAAAGAAACCAACAGGGAUUGCCUUAGUAGCGGCGAGUGAAGCGGCAAAAGCUCAAAUUUGAAAUCUGGCACCUUCGGUGUCCGAGUUGUAAUUUGAAGAUUGUAACCUUGGGGUUGGCUCUUGUCUAUGUUUCUUGGAACAGGACGUCACAGAGGGUGAGAAUCCCGUGCGAUGAGAUGCCCAAUCCUAUGUAAGGUGCUUUCGAAGAGUCGAGUUGUUUGGGAAUGCAGCUCUAAGUGGGUGGUAAAUUCCAUCUAAAGCUAAAUAUUGGCGAGAGACCGAUAGCGAACAAGUACAGUGAUGGAAAGAUGAAAAGAACUUUGAAAAGAGAGUGAAAAAGUACGUGAAAUUGUUGAAAGGGAAGGGUUUGAGAUCAGACUCGAUAUUUUGUGAGCCUUGCCUUCGUGGCGGGGUGACCCGCAGCUUAUCGGGCCAGCAUCGGUUUGGGCGGUAGGAUAAUGGCGUAGGAAUGUGACUUUGCUUCGGUGAAGUGUUAUAGCCUGCGUUGAUGCUGCCUGCCUAGACCGAGGACUGCGAUUUUAUCAAGGAUGCUGGCAUAAUGAUCCCAAACCGCCC